AGUGAACGCUGGCGGCAGGCCUAACACAUGCAAGUCGAGCGGCAGCGCGUCCGACCACCCUCGGGUGGUCGGAUGGCGGCGAGCGGCGGACGGGUGAGGAAUGCAUCGGAAUCUGCCUCGUUGUGGGGGAUAACGUAGGGAAACUUACGCUAAUACCGCAUACGACCUACGGGUGAAAGUGGGGGACCUUCGGGCCUCACGCGAUGAGAUGAGCCGAUGCCGGAUUAGCUAGUUGGCGGGGUAAAGGCCCACCAAGGCGACGAUCCGUAGCUGGUCUGAGGGGAUGAUCAGCCACACUGGAACUGAGACACGGUCCAGACUCCUACGGGAGGCAGCAGUGGGGAAUAUUGGACAAUGGGGGCAACCCUGAUCCAGCCAUGCCGCGUGUGUGAAGAAGGCC
rnacentral:rRNA from 1 species